GAAAUGCGAUAAGUAGUGUGACUUGCAGAAUUCAGUGAAUCAUCGAAUCUUUGAACGCACAUUGCGCCGCUUGGUAUUCCUCGGGGCAUGCUUGUUCGAGCGUCAUUUGUACCUUCAAGCUUUGCUUGGUGCUGGGUGUUUGUCUCGCCUUUGCGUGUAGACUCGCCUUAAAACAAUCGGCAGCCGGCGUAUUGAUUUCAGAGCGCAGAACAUCUCGCGCUUUGCACUCAUGACGACGACGUCCAAAAGUACAUUUUUACACUCUUGACCUCGGAUCAGGUAGGGAUACCCGCUGAACUUAA
rnacentral:misc_RNA from 1 species